rnacentral:tRNA from 1 species
CUCCUCUUGGUGUAGUUGGUUUAUCACGUUCGACUGUAAAUCGAAAGGUCCCUAGUUCGAUUCUGGGAGGGGAGA